GAUCAUGGCUCAGGAUGAACGCUAGCUACAGGCCUAACACAUGCAAGUCGAGGGGAAACGGCAGCUUAGCUUGCUAAGCUGGACGUCGACCGGCGCACGGGUGAGUAACGCGUAUCCAACCUGCCCCACGGUGAGGGAUAACCCGCGGAAACGCGGCCUAAUACCUCAUGGCCUCCGAGCUUGACAUCAAUCUUGGAGUAAAGAUUCAUUGCCGUGGGAUGGGGAUGCGUCUGAUUAG
rnacentral:rRNA from 1 species